UUUAUCUUAGUGGCGGACGGGUGAGUAACCGCGUGGGUAACCUGGCCCUGUACAGGGGGAUAACACUUAGAAAUAGGUGCUAAAACCGCAUAAGCGCACAGUACCGCAUGGUACAGUGUGAAAAACUCCGGUGGUACAGGAUGGACCCGCGUCUGAUUAGCUGGUUGGCGGGGUAACGGCCCACCAAGGCGACGAUCAGUAGCCGGCCUGAGAGGGUGAACGGCCACAUUGGGACUGAGACACGGCCCAAACUCCUACGGAAGGCAGCAG
rnacentral:rRNA from 1 species